rnacentral:rRNA from 1 species
AUUGAACGCUGGCGGCAGGCUUAACACAUGCAAGUCGAGCGGUAGAGAGAAGCUUGCUUCUCUUGAGAGCGGCGGACGGGUGAGUAACGCGUAGAAAUCUGCCUGGUAGUGGGGGAUAGCCCAGAGAAAUUUGGAUUAAUACCGCAUACGCCCUACGGGGGAAAGCAGGGGACCUUCGGGCCUUGCGCUAUCAGAUGAGUCUGCGUCGGAUUAGCUUGUUGGUGAGGUAAUGGCUCACCAAGGCGACGAUCCGUAGCUGGUCUGAGAGGAUGAUCAGCCACACUGGGACUGAGACACGGCCCAGACUCCUACGGGAGGCAGCAGUGGGGAAUAUUGCACAAUGGGCGAAAGCCUGAUGCAGCCAUGCCGCGUGUGUGAAGAAGGCCUUAGGGUUGUAAAGCACUUUCAGCAGUGAGGAAAGGUUGUAACUUAAUAC